rnacentral:tRNA from 1 species
GCGGUGGCUCAGUGGCAGAGCACUUGCCUGGCAGGUGGGAGGCCCUGGGUUCAGUCCUCAGCACCACA